UUGCGGUUAAAAAGCUCGUAGUUGGAUUUCUGUCGGAGACGGUCGGUCCGCUCUUUGAGUGUGUAUCUGAUUCGGUUUUGGCAUCCUCGUGGGGAACGUAACUGUGCUUGAUUGCAUGGUGCGGAAUUCACGACUUUUACUUUGAGGAAAUUAGAGUGUUCACGGCAGGCAAGCGCCUUGAAUACAUUAGCAUGGAAUAAUAAUAUAGGACUUUGGUUCUAUUUUGUUGGUUUCUAGGACUAAAGUAAUGAUUAAUAGGGAUAAUUGGGGCAUUUGUAUUAACGCGUCAGAGGUGGAAUUCUUGGAUUGCGUUACGACAAACUACUGCGAAAGCAUUUGCCAAGGAUGU
rnacentral:rRNA from 1 species